rnacentral:rRNA from 1 species
UGGGGAAUAUUGCACAAUGGGCGCAAGCCUGAUGCAGCCAUGCCGCGUGUGUGAAGAAGGCCUUCGGGUUGUAAAGCACUUUCAGCGGGGAGGAAGGCGAUAAGGUUAAUAACCUUGUCGAUUGACGUUACCCGCAGAAGAAGCACCGGCUAACUCCGUGCCAGCAGCCGCGGUAAUACGGAGGGUGCAAGCGUUAAUCGGAAUUACUGGGCGUAAAGCGCACGCAGGCGGUCUGUCAAGUCGGAUGUGAAAUCCCCGGGCUUAAACUGGGAACUGCAUUCGAAACUGGCAGGCUAGAGGCUUGUAGAGGGGGGUAGAAUUCCAGGUGUAGCGGUGAAAUGCGUAGAGAUCUGGAGGAAUACCGGUGGCGAAGGCGGCCCCCUGGACAAAGACUGACGCUCAGGUGCGAAAGCGUGGGGAGCAAACAGG